GCAUGGCUGAAUUCUGUAAUACUCAUGUCAGUAGUAUAUGCAGUCAGACACCAUGCCAGAUUAUCAUUCACUCUUUAUAACACAGUGAUAAGAUCUUCAGUAUCCAUCUACUUUACGCAAGAGUGAAUACAAUC
ensembl:snoRNA